AGUGACCUAGUGGCUGUAACACUGGGCUCAAAGACAAAGCAUGCUGGUUCAAAUCCCAUUU
rnacentral:tRNA from 16 species